rnacentral:rRNA from 1 species
AACGAACGCUGGCGGCAGGCUUAACACAUGCAAGUCGAACGCAUCCUUCGGGGUGAGUGGCAGACGGGUGAGUAACGCGUGGGAACGUGCCCUUCAGUUCGGGAUAACCCAGGGAAACUUGGGCUAAUACCGGAUACGUGCGAGAGCAGAAAGAUUUAUCGCUGAAGGAUCGGCCCGCGUCUGAUUAGCUAGUUGGUGGGGUAAUGGCCCACCAAGGAGACGAGCAGUAGCUGGUCUGAGAGGAUGAUCAGCCAAAAUGGGACUGGGACACGGCCCAAACUCCUACGGGAGGCAGCCGUCAGGAAUAUUGGAAACUGAGCGCAAGGCGGAUCCCGCGAUGCCGCGUGAGUGAUGAAGGGCUUAGGGUUGUAAAGCUUUUUCGUCCGCGACGAUAAUGACGGUACCGGAAGAAGAAGACCCGGCUAACUUCGUGCCAGCCGCCGCCGUAA